rnacentral:tRNA from 1 species
GCCCGCCUAGCUCAAUCGGAUAGAGCGUCAGACUCUUAAUAGGCAAUGGCAUCUGAAGGCUGCGAGUUCGACCCUCGCGGUGGGCU